rfam:Triticum aestivum genome assembly, contig: Triticum_aestivum_CS42_TGACv1_scaffold_062737_1DL
CACAUACUCCUUCCGUUCGGAAAUGUGAACACUUGUCGAAGAAAUGAAUGUAUCUAGAUGUAUUUUAGUUCUAGAUACAUCCAUUUUGGCGACAAGUAUUUCCGAACAGAGGGAGUAAAUA